CAGAGAUGCUUAGUGCCUUCGGGAACUCUGAGACGAGGUGCUGCAUGGCUGUCGUCAGCUCGUGUUGUGAAAUGUUGGUUAAGUCCCGCAACGAGCGCAACCCUUAUCCUUUGUUGCCAGCACGUAAUGGUGGGAACUCAAAGGAGACUGCCGGUGAUAAACCGGAGGAAGGUGGGGAUGACGUCAAGUCAUCAUGGCCCUUACGAGUAGGGCUACACACGUGCUACAAUGGCGCAUACAAAGAGAAGCGACCUCGCGAGAGCAAGCGGACCUCAUAAAGUGCGUCGUAGUCCGGAUUGGAGUCUGCAACUCGACUCCAUGAAGUCGGAAUCGCUAGUAAUCGUAAAUCAGAAUGUUACGGUGAAUACGUUCCCGGGCCUUGUACACACCGCCCGUCACACCAUGGGAGUGGGUUGCAAAAGAAGUAGAUAGCUUAACCUUCGGGAGGGCGUUUACCACUUUGUGAUUCAUGACUGGGGUGAAGUCGUAACAAGGUAAGCGUAGUGCU
rnacentral:rRNA from 1 species